rnacentral:rRNA from 1 species
GAUGAACGCUGGCGGCGUGCCUAAUACAUGCAAGUCGAGCGAACGGACGAGAAGCUUGCUUCUCUGAUGUUAGCGGCGGACGGGUGAGUAACACGUGGAUAACUUACCUAUAAGACUGGGAUAACUUCGGGAAACCGGAGCUAAUACCGGAUAAUAUUUUGAACCGCAUGGUUCAAAAGUGAAAGACGGUCUUGCUGUCACUUAUAGAUGGAUCCGCGCUGCAUUAGCUAGUUGGUAAGGUAACGGCUUACCAAGGCAACGAUGCAUAGCCGACCUGAGAGGGUGAUCGGCCACACUGGAACUGAGACACGGUCCAGACUCCUACGGGAGGCAGCAGUAGGGAAUCUUCCGCAAUGGGCGAAAGCCUGACGGAGCAACGCCGCGUGAGUGAUGAAGGUCUUCGGAUCGUAAAACUCUGUUAUUAGGGAAGAACAUAUGUGUAAGUAACUGUGCACAUCUUGACGGUACCUAAUCAGAAAGCCACGGCUAACUACGU